rnacentral:rRNA from 1 species
GACGAACGCUGGCGGCGUGCUUAACACAUGCAAGUCGAACGGAAAGGCCCUGCUUUUGUGGGGUGCUCGAGUGGCGAACGGGUGAGUAACACGUGAGUAACCUGCCCUUGACUUUGGGAUAACUUCAGGAAACUGGGGCUAAUACCGGAUAGGAGCUCCUGCUGCAUGGUGGGGGGUGGAAAGUUUCGGCGGUUGGGGAUGGACUCGCGGCUUAUCAGCUAGUUGGUGGGGUAGUGGCUUACCAAGGGUUUGACGGGUAGCCGGCCUGAGAGGGUGACCGGCCACAUUGGGACUGAGAUACGGCCCAGACUCCUACGGGAGGCAGCAGUGGGGAAUAUUGCACAAUGGGCGGAAGCCUGAUGCAGCAACGCCGCGUGCGGGAUGACGGCCUUCGGGUUGUAAACCGCUUUCGCCUGUGACGAAGCGUGAGUGACGGUAAUGGGUAAAGAAGCACCGGCUAACUACGUG